rnacentral:rRNA from 1 species
GACGUAGGGCGCGAGCGUUGUCCGGAUUUAUUGGGCGUAAAGAGCUCGUAGGCGGCUUGUCGCGUCGAAUGUGAAAUCUCAGGGCUCAACUCUGACAUUGCAUUCGAUACGGGCAGGCUCGAGUUCGGUAGGGGAGACUGGAAUUCCUGGUGUAGCGGUGAAAUGCGCAGAUAUCAGGAGGAACACCGGUGGCGAAGGCGGGUCUCUGGGCCGAUACUGACGCUGAGGCACGAAGGCUAGGGGAGCAAACGGG